AACGAACGCUGGCGGCAUGCCUAACACAUGCAAGUCGAACGAGACCUUCGGGUCUAGUGGCGCACGGGUGCGUAACGCGUGGGAAUCUACCCUCAGGUUCGGAAUAACUCAGAGAAAUUUGAGCUAAUACCGGAUGAUGACGUAAGACCAAAGAUUUAUCGCCUGAGGAUGAGCCCGCUUAGGAUUAGGUAGUUGGUGAGGUAAAGGCUCACCAAGCCGACGAUCCUUAGCUGGUCUGAGAGGAUGAUCAGCCACACUGGGACUGAGACACGGCCCAGACUCCUACGGGAGGCAGCAGUGGGGAAUAUUGGACAAUGGGCGAAAGCCUGAUCCAGCAAUGCCGCGUGAGUGAUGAAGGCCUUAGGGUUGUAAAGCUCUUUUACCCGGGAUGAUAAUGACAGUACCGGGAGAAUAAGCUCCGGCUAACUCCGUG
rnacentral:rRNA from 1 species